rnacentral:rRNA from 1 species
GUAGGGUGCGAGCGUUAAUCGGAAUUACUGGGCGUAAAGCGUGCGCAGGCGGUCUGUUAAGACAGAUGUGAAAUCCCCGGGCUUAACCUGGGAACUGCAUUUGUGACUGGCAGGCUAGAGUAUGGCAGAGGGGGGUAGAAUUCCACGUGUAGCAGUGAAAUGCGUAGAGAUGUGGAGGAAUACCGAUGGCGAAGGCAGCCCCCUGGGCCAAUACUGACGCUCAUGCACGAAAGCGUGGGGAGCAAACAGGAUUAGAUACCCUGGUAGUCCACGCCCUAAACGAUGUCAACUAGUUGUUGGGGAUUCAUUUCCUUAGUAACGUAGCUAACGCGUGAAGUUGACCGCCUGGGGGGUACGGUCGCAAGAUUA